GCUGCCGUAGCACAGUCGGUAGUGCGCAGCAUUGGUAGUGCUGAGGUCACGGGUCCGAUUCCCGUCGGCAGCU
rnacentral:tRNA from 1 species